rfam:Coprinopsis cinerea okayama7#130 chromosome 11 cont3.11, whole genome shotgun sequence.
CCGACCUUAGCUCAGUUGGAAGAGCAUCAGACUGUAAUGGGUUACCUAAGCAAGUCAUCUGGGGGUCGCCUGUUCGAACCAGGCAGGUCGGA